GGGCCAAAUUUGAUCCUCCCCAGGUCUGUUAUUAUAAGUAUCAUGAAUGCUCGUAUUUUAAUGCUAGAUUUUUAUUUUUAUUGAACUUAUAGUUCUGCCUGAUUUUAUUUUCUAAUGAUUAAUGUCAUUGCCUUGAAAAUUUGUGGAGGGUCCUAGAGAAAUUUUAACUAUAGAUAACCCAAUUCUCUUGCAUAAAAAAAAUGUGAGAUGAUUGUGGCUGAUGUAAACAAUUCUCAGGCUGUAUAGCCUUUGAAUGAUGACAUAUUACUUUUGCAUGUGUAUCUUGUUAUUCUUUCUAUUUUGAAUUCAGCCUAACAGGUCCUUACAACAUAGCUUAGGUUAGUACACAUGCCCAUUGCUUACGCCUAUUAUAUUUUAGCCUUCCUUUUAUUUCACUUCUUGGAAGUUCCAUUAGCAAAUUCAGUUCUAAAAAAUUAUAAAUUGGGAAAAAGUGGGUAACUUGAAUUACUAAUGAUGAAUUUGAAUUUGAUGAUCAGGGUAUCGUGUUAGAUGGAGUU
rnacentral:misc_RNA from 1 species